UACAGAGGGGCAAGCGUUAUUCGGAAUUAUUGGGCGUAAAGGGCGCGUAGGCGGCUUGGCAAGUGGAAGGUGAAAUCCCUCGGCUUAACCGAGGAACUGCCCUCCAAACUGCUUCGCUUGAGACCGGGAGAGGUGAGUGGAAUUCCCAGUGUAGCGGUGAAAUGCGUAGAUAUUGGGAGGAACACCAGUGGCGAAGGCGGCUCACUGGACCGGUACGUGACGCUGAUGCGCGAAAGCGUGGGGAGCGAACGGGG
rnacentral:rRNA from 1 species